rnacentral:lncRNA from 1 species
GAUCCAAAUUUUCUUUAAAAUUUUAGACAAAAAAAAGAAAAUAUAAGAAAUAUCAUAGAAAUCUUCAAGUAGUCUUGAAUCUCGCCACCUAAAAACUUCAGCAACCCCCCUCCUUUGAUAAAUUUUUAUGGUUUUCCCUCUUCAUAGCUCCAUUUCUUGCAUACUAUAUUUUUUUGAAAAGUUAACAAUAUGAUCUAAUUUCUUUUAAAAUUUUAAGAUAAAAAAAAAUAAAAAUUUCCUAAGUGGCCUUCAAAACUCCAUACAAGGCUUGAACCUCGCUCCUUUCCAAAAAAUUUAGCGACCCCUCUUUCACCUCCUUUUGAUCCUAGCCUCCCCUCUCUUCCUUCAAAAAUUAAAAUCCUUGAUGCCAAAAAUUUCUAUCUCUAAUCCUCUCUC